rnacentral:rRNA from 1 species
GCAAGUCGAACGGUAACAGAGAAUAGCUUGCUAUUUUGCUGACGAGUGGCGGACGGGUGAGUAAUGCUUGGGGAUUUACCGUUUCGUAGGGGACAACAGUUGGAAACGACUGCUAAUACCGCAUAAUGUCUUCGGACCAAAGGUGGCCUCUAUUUAUAAGCUAUCGCGUAACGAUGAGCCCAAGUGGGAUUAGCUAGUUGGUAAGGUAAUGGCUUACCAAGGCGACGAUCCCUAGCUGGUCUGAGAGGAUGACC